CAGAGACACACUCUCAGAGACUCUCAGGUCUGGAGGAGGCAACAUCUUUGCCUCUCUGUCUGAGAGAAAGAUCUGAAGGAGCUUAGUGUUUUCCUUUUCCAACUUGGGAAACACUGUUGACUAUCUAUUGUGGUUUUAUAGAUUGUUUAAUUCUGAGAAGACUAAAGAAAAACCUGGUCUUUGGUUUGGAUUGUUGAGUCUGUUAAGACUCAGAGUCCUAACUUGAUUCUUGUUGAGACUCAAUCAGCUAGACUGCUAUUUUAUAAUUUGAAGGUGCCUGGAUCUGUGGACGCUUCAGUCAUUAAUGAAACCACCAGUACCACCAAUUGUGAGAUUUUGAUACAUUUUAAUUUUUAAGAUUUGUUUUUGCCCUCCCUAAAAGGAGAGAAGUUUGUUUAGAAAAUUUCUACAAUAAGAACAAGAAGUUAUUAGAAGAUACGGGCACCAUGGAAAGUGGAAAAAAUGUUACCAUCUUUAAUCUGAAUGUGUAGUCAUUCUAUAUAUAAAACUACUAAAGUGAAUUAGUACCUAAACUCGUCAUUUGCCUGUUAAUAUCUACAUAGCCUUAGAUGAGAUUAAAUCCCUGAAAUAUCUUCAGACGUAAUCAAUGUCUGUGUAUUAUCUAUUCUAUUUGUAUGUGGUUAACAACUGAAUGUGUUUUACUAUAGGCAUUCCAUUUGAUAUAUACUGUUUUAGGUAUACAUUUGGGAAUUAUUUGAGUGUAUUUGCACCAUAACUCAUUUUUAUUUCAUUUGGAGUCCAAUCAGCAUUUUGUGGGUCAGUUAAUUUAUACAGUCAUUGAAUCUCAGGGUGGAGAAAUUUAGCAGCAAAAAAUAUUGUUGAUUAUGUUUUCAUAUAUAAGAUUGGAUCCCUAAUAACAUCUGAGCUUCCAGAAAGAAUUGGAAUUCAUUGGAAUAUAAAAUUUUGAGAAAGCAAUAGGUUAGACUCUCCUGUAUGUCAAAUAUAAAUUAUUCUAAUGGGCACACAAAAACCUAAAACUGAAUUUUAAUUUAUUUUUAGGCUUAUAAUGUCCUGUUUUCUUAUAUCUCUCUUGUUAAUAAGGCAAAACCAUAAGGUUUUGGAUGAUUUUUUCCAUUUCCACUAGUUAUUGAAGAAGUAAAACUUUGAAAAGUUGUACUAAUAUGAAUUGAGAUCUUCUUUGUAGAAGACUUUUAGCAGGAAUGUUUAAGCAACCUCUACAAGUAACUUGGAACCAAGGAGGCAAAUCUAUUGGAGAGAUCUAUCCCAAGAUGUCCAAGAGACAAUUUUGAAGAUCAAAUAACCACACGGCAUCUGAUAUCUGACAUGGAAUUUGUAGGCACUGGAGAUGGACUACUAAAAUAAA
ensembl:lncRNA